CAGUCGAACGAUGAUGCCCAGCUUGCUGGGCGGAUUAGUGGCGAACGGGUGAGUAAUACGUGAGUAACCUGCCCUUGACUCUGGGAUAAGCCUGGGAAACUGGGUCUAAUACUGGAUACUACCUCUUACCGCAUGGUGGGUGGUGGAAAGGGUUUUACUGGUUUUGGAUGGGCUCACGGCCUAUCAGCUUGUUGGUGGGGUAAUGGCUCACCAAGGCGACGACGGGUAGCCGGCCUGAGAGGGUGACCGGCCACACUGGGACUGAGACACGGCCCAGACUCCUACGGGAGGCAGCAGUGGGGAAUAUUGCACAAUGGGCGGAAGCCUGAUGCAGCGACGCCGCGUGAGGGAUGACGGCCUUCGGGUUGUAAACCUCUUUCAGUAGGGAAGAAGCGAGAGUGACGGUACCUGCAGAAGAAGCGCCGGCUAACUACGUGCCAGCAGCCGCGGUAAUACGUAGGGCGCAAGCGUUGUCCGGAAUUAUUGGGCGUAAAGAGCUCGUAGGCGGUUUGUCGCGUCUGCUGUGAAAGCCCGGGGCUCAACCCCGGGUCUGCAGUGGGUACGGGCAGACUAGAGUGCAGUAGGGGAGACUGGAAUUCCUGGUGUAGCGGUGAAAUGCGCAGAUAUCAGGAGGAACACCGAUGGCGAAGGCAGGUCUCUGGGCUGUUACUGACGCUGAGGAGCGAAAGCAUGGGGAGCGAACAGGAUUAGAUACCCUGGUAGUCCAUGCCGUAAACGUUGGGCACUAGGUGUGGGGGACAUUCCACGUUUUCCGCGCCGUAGCUAACGCAUUAAGUGCCCCGCCUGGGGAGUACGGCCGCAAGGCUAAAACUCAAAGGAAUUGACGGGGGCCCGCACAAGCGGCGGAGCAUGCGGAUUAAUUCGAUGCAACGCGAAAGAACCUUACCAAGGCUUGACAUUCACCGGACCGCCCCAGAGAUGGGGGUUUCCCUUUCGGGGGCUGGUGGACAGGUGGUGCAUGGGUUGUCGUCAGCUCGUGUCGUGAGAAUGUUGGGGUUAAGUCCCGCAACGAGCGCAACCCUCGUUCUAUGUUGCCAGCACGUGAUGGUGGGGACUCAUAGGAGACUGCCGGGGUCAACUCGGAGGAAGGUGGGGAUGACGUCAAAUCAUCAUGCCCCUUAUGUCUUGGGCUUCACGCAUGCUACAAUGGCCGGUACAAAGGGUUGCGAUACUGUGAGGUGGAGCUAAUCCCAAAAAGCCGGUCUCAGUUCGGAUUGAGGUCUGCAACUCGACCUCAUGAAGUCGGAGUCGCUAGUAAUCGCAGAUCAGCAACGCUGCGGUGAAUACGUUCCCGGGCCUUGUACACACCGCCCGUCAAGUCACGAAAGUUGGUAACACCCGAAGCCGGUGGCCUAACCC
rnacentral:rRNA from 1 species